GAUGAACGCUAGCUACAGGCUUAACACAUGCAAGUCGAGGGGCAGCAGGACGAUAGCUUGCUAUUGUUGCUGGCGACCGGCGCACGGGUGAGUAACGCGUAUCCAACCUUCCCCUUAGUAGAGGAUAGCCCGGCGAAAGUCGGAUUAAUACUCUAUGUUGUGUUUUGAGGACAUCUGAUGAACACCAAAGGUUCACCGCUAAGGGAUGGGGAUGCGUCUGAUUAGCUUGUUGGCGGGGUAACGGCCCACCAAGUCAACGAUCAGUAGGGGUUCUGAGAGGAAGGUCCCCCACAUUGGAACUGAGACACGGUCCAAACUCC
rnacentral:rRNA from 1 species